CCUACGGGUGGCAGCAGUGGGGAAUAUUGGACAAUGGGCGCAAGCCUGAUCCAGCAAUGCCGCGUGUGUGAAGAAGGCCUUCGGGUUGUAAACCUUAGGAACCUGGUACACGGUACCUGAGGAAUAAGCACCGGCUAACUCCGUGCCAGCAGCCGCGGUAAUACGGAGGGAGCAAGCGUUAAUCGGAAUUACUGGGCGUAAAGGGUGCGUAGGCGGUUAUUUAAGUCUGUUGUGAAAUCCCCGGGCUCAACCUGGGAAUGGCAAUGGAUACUGGGUAGCUAGAGUGUGUCAGAGGAUGGUGGAAUUCCCGGUGUAGCGGUGAAAUGCGUAGAGAUCGGGAGGAACAUCAGUGGCGAAGGCGGCCAUCUGGGACAAACUGACGCUGAAGCACGAAAGCGUGGGGAGCAAACAGGAUUAGAUACCCUAGUAGUC
rnacentral:rRNA from 1 species